GAGGUGGGAGGAUUGCUUGAGUCUGGGAGGUUGAGGCUGCAGUAAGCUGAGAUUGUGCCACUGCACUCCAGCCUAGGUGUCAGAGCAAGACCUUGUCUCA
ensembl:miRNA